AUGCUCACUUCGGCAGCACACAUACUAAAUUUGGACCGAUACACAUAAGAUUAGCAUGGCCUCUGUGCAAGGAUGGCUCGCAAAUUUGUGAAGCUUUCGGUAUUUUU
ensembl:snRNA U6 U6 spliceosomal RNA